rnacentral:rRNA from 1 species
GCAGCCGCGGUAAUACAGAGGUCCCAAGCGUUACUGAGAUUCACUGGGUUUAAAGGGUGCGUAGGUGGCGCGUUAAGUCAGUUGUGAAAUCCCCGGGCUCAACCCGGGAAAUGCUUCUGAUACUGGCGUGCUUGAGGCCGGUAUAGGUUACUGGAACGGACGGUGGAGCGGUGAAAUGCGUAGAUAUCGUCUGGAACGCCAGUGGUGAAGACGGGUAACUGGGCCGGUUCUGACACUGAGGCACGAAAGCGUGGGUAGCGAACGGGAUUAGAUACCCCGGUAGUCCACGCCCUAAACGAUGCAGACUAGACUGCAGCGGGUCUGACCCCGUUGCGGUCGUAGAGAAAUUGAUAAGUCUGCCACCUGGGAAGUACGGUCGCAAGGCUAAAACUCAAAGGAAUUGACGGGGGCUCACACAAGCGGUGGAGCAUGUGGCUCAAUUCGAAGCAACGCGAA